rnacentral:tRNA from 2 species
GCCUUAGUAGUAUAAAAAUUACAUUGGUCUUGUAAACCAAAAACGGAGUACUAUUCUCCCUAAGACA